GACGAACGCUGGCGGCGUGCCUAAUACAUGCAAGUCGAACGCACUCUCGUUUAGAUUGAAGGAGCUUGCUCCUGAUUGAUAAACAUUUGAGUGAGUGGCGGACGGGUGAGUAACACGUGGGUAACCUGCCCUAAAGUGGGGGAUAACAUUUGGAAACAGAUGCUAAUACCGCAUAAAACCUAAACACCGCAUGGUGUAGGGUUGAAAGAUGGUUUCGGCUAUCACUUUAGGAUGGACCCGCGGUGCAUUAGUUAGUUGGUGAGGUAAAGGCUCACCAAGACCGUGAUGCAUAGCCGACCUGAGAGGGUAAUCGGCCACACUGGGACUGAGACACGGCCCAGACUCCUACGGAGGCAGCAGUAGGGAAUCUUCCACAAUGGACGAAAGUCUGAUGGAGCAACGCCGCGUGAGUGAAGAAGGUUUUCGGAUCGUAAAACUCUGUUGUUGGAGAAGAAUGUAUCUGAUAGAACUGAUCAGGUAGUGACGGUAUCCAAACCAGAAA
rnacentral:rRNA from 1 species